ensembl:lncRNA
GCCUCAGCCAGCGCUGGCCAGUGCAAGAGGAAGAUGAAGGUGGCUGUGCUCAGCGUGGCCCUGCUCCUCUCCAUCCUGCUGUGCCUCCCGGCACAGACCGAGGCCACCUUUGAUGGCAGUGGUGGAACUCUAUGUGCCGGGGGAGUUGGUGGCUUUAGCAAUGGAAAGAUAAGCGUAGUAGGAGGCCAAGGUGGAUGCAUUGAGGUAAAGAAAGGCACCCAGCGAGUGAAGCGGUCUGAGCCCCCCGUGGCUGAGCAGGUGGAGCUUCUGCGGGAGUGAUGCCCGGCUGCCCCUCUGGAUGCCCUGGACUGGAACUGGUGGUGACACUCGCGUCCUGUCCCCCUCCAGCAGCAUGAGGAGAUGAUCAUCCCUGGAUAACCCCCCUGAUCCCCUGGGAGCCCUGGGAAUUUCCCUGGAGUAAUCAAUAAACCCCUACAGCAAAGCAACUCUGUGUGUCC